rnacentral:piRNA from 1 species
UGGGAUCAAAGGCGUGCUCACCACUGCUC